rnacentral:rRNA from 1 species
GACGAACCGUGCGAACGUUGUUCGGAAUCACUGGGCUUAAAGGGCGCGUAGGCGGGCUCGCAAGUCAGGGGUGAAAUCCCACGGCUCAACCGUGGAAGUGCCUUUGAUACUGCGGGCCUUGAGGGAGGUAGGGGCGUGCGGAACUUCCGGUGGAGCGGUGAAAUGCGUAGAGAUCGGGAGGAACAUCAGUGGCGAAGGCGGCCAUCUGGGACAACACUGACGCUGAAGCACGAAAGCGUGGGGAGCAAACAGG